UCAUAAAGAAUAUAGUAAAAUACAAUUAAUAAUGUAUACAUAUAUAUACAUACAGGGGGGGAUAGAGAGAGACAGUUGAGAGGGUAAUGAACUGAUAUUUGUAAAAGAACAAAAGGUGGGUUAAUUUUAUGAGAAAAUUUGUAUCUUUCAAUGGAGAGUCGCGAGCAUCCCCUCGUUAUGUUACGUCAAAAUAAUUUCCCAGUAGGCAUCCCGUACGCAAACAACGCCAUCUUAUGCGAGAAUUUAAAUAUUUAAGAAACAGUUGCGAAACGCUGUUCGAGAAGCUUAUCGGAUGUUUUUAUUGUAGGCUGUUGAAAGUACGAUGGUGUGCUUUCGAGCAAUGUCAACAGACGCUAUCGAAUUAUUACAAAAUGGAAAGUUCCAGAAUGGUGGGGAGAAUGGGAAUAUCCAUCCAGACAUAAGAAUCAUGAAUUAUACUUUGAAAUGCAUGAAAUGUAUAGAAAAGCUGAUUGGCUCAAUGUCUUGGAAUAGAGAAAAGCUGAAUAUUUUUUUAUUUCUUUUUUUAUACAUAAAUAUGUCUCGUCGAAAGAAAGUUUAACGCGUUACUUGACAAUACGUAUACCAGGGUAAUUCGAAAUAAGCGUUACAGCUGUUAUUGGUAAAUAUUAGAAAUUAUACUGGACGAUACGUGUUUUGCCGUCUUGAUUCAACCCUAUAAAUGAUUUGGUAUUAGAAAUGACGAUUUAAAGGCUGUAUACAUAUACAUAUAGCCGUGUAUAUCAGCCUUAGUGUACCACCUGAACAUGGUUUUACCGUAAGAAUAAAAUAUGUGCACCGCCAACUUCAGAGGAUGUAUGAAUAGCAACAACAAAGAACGGUAUUCCUUUGUAAUAAAGAAUUAUAGAAGACACAGCACAAUUCAUGGAUCAAGAGGGUUAAAAUGUCGGACAAAAGGCAGACACGAAAAAAAGAAUAAACACGAAGAUGAAAAAGUUAA